AUUGAACGCUGGCGGCAUGCCUUACACAUGCAAGUCGAACGGUAACGCGGGGCAACCUGGCGACGAGUGGCGAACGGGUGAGUAAUGCAUCGGAACGUGCCUGGUAGUGGGGGAUAACUGCUCGAAAGAGCAGCUAAUACCGCAUACGACCUGAGGGUGAAAGGGGGGGAUCGCAAGACCUCUCGCUAUCAGAGCGGCCGAUGUCGGAUUAGCUAGUUGGUGGGGUAAAGGCCCACCAAGGCGACGAUCCGUAGCUGGUCUGAGAGGACGACCAGCCACACUGGGACUGAGACACGGCCCAGACUCCUACGGGAGGCAGCAGUGGGGAAUUUUGGACAAUGGACGCAAGUCUGAUCCAGCCAUGCCGCGUGCGGGAGGAAGGCCUUCGGGUUGUAAACCGCUUUUGUCAGGGAAGAAAUCUUCUGGACUAAUACUCUGGGAGGAUGACGGUACCUGAAGAAUAAGCACCGGCUAACUACGUGCCAGCCGCCGCGGUAA
rnacentral:rRNA from 1 species